AGUGAACGCUGGCGGUAGGCCUAACACAUGCAAGUCGAACGGCAGCACAGUAAGAGCUUGCUCUUACGGGUGGCGAGUGGCGGACGGGUGAGGAAUACAUCGGAAUCUACUUUUUCGCGGGGGAUAACGUAGGGAAACUUACGCUAAUACCGCAUACGACCUACGGGUGAAAGCAGGGGAUCUUCGGACCUUGCGCGAUUGAAUGAGCCGAUGUCGGAUUAGCUAGUUGGCGGGGUAAAGGCCCACCAAGGCGACGGUCCGUAGCUGGUCUGAGAGGAUGAUCAGGCACACUGGAACUGAGACACGGACCAGACUCCUACGGGAGGCAGCAGUGGGGAAUAUUGGACAAUGGGCGCAAGCCUGAUCCAGCCAUACCGCGUGGGUGAAGAAGGCCUUCGGGUUGUAAAGCCCUUUUGUUGGGAAAGAAAAGCAGCAGGUUAAUACCCCGCUGUUCUGACGGUACCCAAAGAAUAAGCACCGGCUAACUUCGUG
rnacentral:rRNA from 1 species